rnacentral:rRNA from 1 species
UACGUAGGGUGCAAGCGUUAAUCGGAAUUACUGGGCGUAAAGCGUGCGCAGGCGGUUUUGUAAGUCUGUCGUGAAAGCCCCGGGCUCAACCUGGGAAUUGCGAUGGAGACUGCAAGGCUUGAAUCUGGCAGAGGGGGGGUAGAAUUCCACGUGUAGCAGUGAAAUGCGUAGAGAUGUGGAGGAACACCUAUAGCGAAGGCAGCUUGCUGGGACGUUACUGACGCUAAGGCGCGAAAGCGUGGGGAGCGAACAGG